AACGUAGGUGGCGAGCGUUAUCCGGAUUUACUGGGCGUAAAGGGUGUGCAGGCGGCCCCUCAAGUGGUGUAUGAAAGGGCUCGGCUCAACCGGGCUAGGUUAUGCCAGACUGAGGGGCUAGAGAGCGAGAGCGGGACGUGGAAUUCCGGGUGUAGUGGUGAAAUGCGUAGAGAUCCGGAGGAACCCCAGAGGCGAAGGCGGCGUCCUGGCUCGCAUCUGACGCUCAGACACGACAGCAUGGGGAGCGAACGGG
rnacentral:rRNA from 1 species